AGAGUUUGAUCAUGGCUCAGAGCGAACGCUGGCGGCAGGCUUAACACAUGCAAGUCGAGCGCCCCGUAGCAAUACGGGAGCGGCAGACGGGAGAGUAACACGUGGGAACGCACCUUUCGGUUCGGAAUAACCCAGGGAAACUUGGGCUAAUACCGGAUACGUCCGCAAGGAGAAAGAUUUAUCGCCGGAAGAUCGGCCCG
rnacentral:rRNA from 1 species